rnacentral:lncRNA from 10 species
AUUUUUACUUCUUUUUGCAGCAGCAAGAUUAAGAAAAUUGUGCAUUCAAUUAUAUCAUCCUUUGCAUUUGGACUAUUUGGAGUUUUCCUGGUCUUACUGGAUGUCACUCUCGUCCUUGCCGACCUAAUUUUCACUGACAGCAAACUUUAUAUUCCUUCGGAGUAUCGUUCUAUUUCUCUAGCUAUUGCCUUAUUUUUUCUCAUGGAUGUUCUUCUUCGAGUAUUUGUAGAAGGGUAAGUUUGAUUAUUUUUAUAAUGCAUUAAGCUAUUUUGUACUUUUAUAAGAAGCACUUUGGGAGGCUGAGGUGGGAGGAUCCCAAGGUCAGGAGUUCGAGACAAUCCUGGCCAACAUGGUGAAACCCCGUCUCUACUAAAAAUACAAAAAUUAGCUGGGUGUGGUGGUGGUUGCCUAUAAUCCCAGCUGCUUGGGAUGCUGAGGCAGGAGAAUCUUUUGAACCUGGGAGGCAGAAGUUG